UACAAAUUAAAUAAGAAACAAUCUUUUCAGAUGAAAAAAAUCAGUCUCUUAUAAAAUUAUAAAAUAUUUCAGUAGGAAAAAAGAAAUUUGAUUUUUUUUUUUUUUUUGGAUUUCUCAAGGUAUCCCUGCAGGACAGGUCAAGGACUAAUUCUCCGCGGAUCUGAGCUCCAUUUAAGAGUUUACUGCUGGUCAAUUGAUUGUUGCAUGCACAAGGCGAGAAUCAAACUCCCAACACUUAAUUAAACAAUCUAGUGAGCUAACCACUAAACCAACCAAGCUUGGUUAAAGAAAUUUGACUUAUUAACCCCACUGCAACAGCUUUUAGGCUUGCUUUGUUACGAAAA
rnacentral:lncRNA from 1 species